UCCGGUAUGGUGUAAGGGUUAGCAUAGGGCACUCUCAAUCAUCAAGAGACGAUGCCUUGAUCAGGGUUCGAAUCCCUGUACCGGAG